rnacentral:rRNA from 1 species
CCUACGGGUGGCAGCAGUGAGGAAUAUUGGUCAAUGGGCGCAAGCCUGAACCAGCCAAGUCGCGUGAGGGAAGACGGUCCUAUGGAUUGUAAACCUCUUUUAUCAGGGAAUAAAGUGCGCGACGUGUCCCGUUCCGUAUGUACCCUAUGAAUAAGGAUCGGCUAACUCCGUGCCAGCAGCCGCGGUAAUACGGAGGAUCCGAGCGUUAUCCGGAUUUAUUGGGUUUAAAGGGUGCGUAGGCGGCCAUUUAAGUCAGCGGUGAAAGUCUGUGGCUCAACCAUAGUAUAGCCGUUGAAACUGGGUGGCUUGAGUAUGUUAGAGGUAGGCGGAAUGCGUGGUGUAGCGGUGAAAUGCUUAGAUAUCACGCAGAACCCCGAUUGCGAAGGCAGCCUACCGAGGCAUGACUGACGCUGAUGCACGAAAGCGUGGGUAUCGAACAGGAUUAGAUACCCGUGUAGUC